UGUUAAAAGUUUCAUUUAUUUGUAACAUUAAAAACUGGCAUGCCUGACGGAAUAACUAGACAAUGCAAUGUGGGGUGCCAAGUGUACGUUAUGCUGUCGUACAAAAACCAGUUUUUUUAGAAAUAGAUGGAAUUUUUUAUA
rnacentral:pre_miRNA from 1 species